AGUGAACGCUGGCGGUAGGCCUAACACAUGCAAGUCGAACGGCAGCACAGUAAGAGCUUGCUCUUACGGGUGGCGAGUGGCGGCCGGGUGAGGAAUACAUCGGAAUCUACUUUUUCGUGGGGGAUAACGUAGGGAAACUUACGCUAAUACCGCAUACGACCUACGGGUGAAAGCAGGGGAUCUUCGGACCUUGCGCGAUUGAAUGAGCCGAUGUCGGAUUAGCUAGUUGGCGGGGUAAAGGCCCACUAAGGCGACGAUCCGUAGCUGGUCUGAGAGGAUGAUCAGCCACACUGAAACUGAGACACGGUCCAGACUCCUACGGGAGGCAGCAGUGGGGAAUAUUGGACAAUGGGCGCAAGCCUGAUCCAGCCAUACCGAGUGGGUGAAGAAGGCCUUCGGGUUGUAAAGCCCUUUUGUUGGGAAAGAAAAGCAGCAGGUUAAUACCCCGCUGUUCUGACGGUACCCAAAGAAUAAGCACCGGCUAACUUCGUG
rnacentral:rRNA from 1 species